GCGAGGAUGGUGAAAUUGGUAGACACGUCAGCUUUAGAAGCUGAUGCUACUGCGUGAGGGUUCAAAUCCCUCUCCUCGCA
rnacentral:tRNA from 1 species